rnacentral:rRNA from 1 species
CCUACGGGUGGCAGCAGUGAGGAAUAUUGGUCAAUGGCCGAGAGGCUGAACCAGCCAAGUCGCGUGAGGGAAGACGGCCCUACGGGUUGUAAACCUCUUUUGUCGGGGAGCAAAGCGAACCACGUGUGGUUCAUUGAGAGUACCCGAAGAAAAAGCAUCGGCUAACUCCGUGCCAGCAGCCGCGGUAAUACGGGGGAUGCGAGCGUUAUCCGGAUUUAUUGGGUUUAAAGGGUGCGCAGACGGAGGUGCACAUCAGCGGUAAAAUUGCGGGGCUCAACCCCUUACUGCCGUUGAAACUGCAUCCCUUGAGUGCGCGAGAGGUAUGCGGAAUGCGUGGUGUAGCGGUGAAAUGCAUAGAUAUCACGAAGAACUCCGAUUGCGAAGGCAGCAUACCGGCGCGCAACUGACGCUCAUGCACGAAAGCGUGGGUAUCGAACAGGAUUAGAUACCCCAGUAGUC